UACGUAGGGUGCAAGCGUUAAUCGGAAUUACUGGGCGUAAAGCGUGCGCAGGCGGUUUUGUAAGUUUGUCGUGAAAGCCCCGGGCUCAACCUGGGAAUGGCGAUGAAGACUGCAAGGCUUGGAUCUGGCAGAGGGGGGUAGAAUUCCACGUGUAGCAGUGAAAUGCGUAGAGAUGUGGAGGAACACCGAUGGAGAAGGCAGCCCCCUGGGUCAAGAUUGACGCUCAUGCACGAAAGCGUGGGGAGCAAACAGG
rnacentral:rRNA from 1 species